AUGUACCCCCGUAAACUCCGGUUCCUCCGCGCCGUCCGCACCCACCUGACGGCUGCUCGCUACGUUUUGUUAGCC
rnacentral:sRNA from 1 species